GUGGGGAAUAUUGCACAAUGGGCGAAAGCCUGAUGCAGCAACGCCGCGUGAGGGACGACGGCCUUCGGGUUGUAAACCUCUUUUAGUAGGGAAGAAGCGAAAGUGACGGUACCUGCAGAAAAAGCACCGGCUAACUACGUGCCAGCAGCCGCGGUAAUACGUAGGGUGCAAGCGUUGUCCGGAAUUAUUGGGCGUAAAGAGCUCGUAGGCGGCUUGUCGCGUCUGCUGUGAAAUCCCGGGGCUCAACCCCGGGCCUGCAGUGGGUACGGGCAGGCUAGAGUGCGGUAGGGGAGAUUGGAAUUCCUGGUGUAGCGGUGGAAUGCGCAGAUAUCAGGAGGAACACCGAUGGCGAAGGCAGAUCUCUGGGCCGCUACUGACGCUGAGGAGCGAAAGCAUGGGGAGCGAACAGGAUUAGAAACCCGAGUAGUCC
rnacentral:rRNA from 1 species